CCUACGGGAGGCUGCAGUGGGGAAUAUUGGACAAUGGGGGGAACCCUGAUCCAGCCAUGCCGCGUGUGUGAAGAAGGCCCUCGGGUGGUAAAGCACUUUCAGUGAGGAAGAACGCCUGGUGGUUAAUACCCAUCAGGAAAGACAUCACUCACAGAAGAAGCACCGGCUAACUCCGUGCCAGCAGCCGCGGUAAUAUGGAGGGUGCGAGCGUUAAUCGGAAUUACUGGGCGUAAAGCGAGCGUAGGUGGCUUGAUAAGCCGGUUGUGAAAGCCCCGGGCUCAACCUGGGAACGGCAUCCGGAACUGUCAAGCUAGAGUGCAGGAGAGGAAGGUAGAAUUCCCGGUGUAGCGGUGAAAUGCGUAGAGAUCGGGAGGAAUACCAGUGGCGAAGGCGGCCUUCUGGACUGACACUGACACUGAGGUGCGAAAGCGUGGGUAGCAAACAGGAUUAGAUACCCUGGUAGUC
rnacentral:rRNA from 1 species